AAUAGGGGAGCCGCAGGGAAACCGAGUCUUAACUGGGCGUUAAGUUGCAGGGUAUAGACCCGAAACCCGGUGAUCUAGCCAUGGGCAGGUUGAAGGUUGGGUAACACUAACUGGAGGACCGAACCGACUAAUGUUGAAAAAUUAGCGGAUGACUUGUGGCUGGGGGUGAAAGGCCAAUCAAACCGGGAGAUAGCUGGUUCUCCCCGAAAGCUAUUUAGGUAGCGCCUCGUGAACUCAUCUUCGGGGGUAGAGCACUGUUUCGGCUAGGGGGUCAUCCCGACUUACCAACCCGAUGCAAACUACGAAUACCGAAGAAUGUUAUCACGGGAGACACACGGCGGGUGCUAACGUCCGUCGUGAAGAGGGAAACAACCCAGACCGCCAGCUAAGGUCCCAAAGUCAUGGUUAAGUGGGAAACGAUGUGGGAAGGCCCAGACAGCCAGGAUGUUGGCUUAGAAGCAGCCAUCAUUUAAAGAAAGCGUAAUAGCUCACUGGUCGAGUCGGCCUGCGCGGAAGAUGUAACGGGGCUAAACCAUGCACCGAAGCUGCGGCAGCGACACUAUGUGUUGUUGGGUAGGGGAGCGUUCUGUAAGCCGUUGAAGGUGGCCUGUGAGGGUUGCUGGAGGUAUCAGAAGUGCGAAUGCUGACAUAAGUAACGAUAAUGCGGGUGAAAAACCCGCACGCCGGAAGACCAAGGGUUCCUGUCCAACGUUAAUCGGGGCAGGGUGAGUCGACCCCUAAGGCGAGGCCGAAAGGCGUAGUCGAUGGGAAACAGGUUAAUAUUCCUGUACUUGGUGUUACUGCGAAGGGGGGACGGAGAAGGCUAUGUUGGCCGGGCGACGGUUGUCCCGGUUUAAGCAUGUAGGCGGAUGUUCCAGGUAAAUCCGGAACGUCACUAACGCUGAGGUGUGAUGACGAGGCACUACGGUGCUGAAGUGACAAAUGCCCUGCUUCCAGGAAAAGCCUCUAAGCAUCAGGUAACAUCAAAUCGUACCCCAAACCGACACAGGUGGUCAGGUAGAGAAUACCAAGGCGCUUGAGAGAACUCGGGUGAAGGAACUAGGCAAAAUGGUGCCGUAACUUCGGGAGAAGGCACGCUGAUGGUAGGUGAAGUGACUUGCUCAUGGAGCUGAAAUCAGUCGAAGAUACCAGCUGGCUGCAACUGUUUAUUAAAAACACAGCACUGUGCAAACACGAAAGUGGACGUAUACGGUGUGACGCCUGCCCGGUGCCGGAAGGUUAAUUGAUGGGGUUAUCCUCGCGGAGAAGCUCUUGAUCGAAGCCCCGGUAAACGGCGGCCGUAACUAUAACGGUCCUAAGGUAGCGAAAUUCCUUGUCGGGUAAGUUCCGACCUGCACGAAUGGCGUAAUGAUGGCCAGGCUGUCUCCACCCGAGACUCAGUGAAAUUGAACUCGCUGUGAAGAUGCAGUGUACCCGCGGCAAGACGGAAAGACCCCGUGAACCUUUACUAUAGCUUGACACUGAACACUGGUCCUUGAUGUGUAGGAUAGGUGGGAGGCUUUGAAGUGUGGACGCCAGUCUGCAUGGAGCCGUCCUUGAAAUACCACCCUUUAAUGGCUGGUGUUCUAACGUGGGCCCGUAAUCCGGGUUGCGGACAGUGUCUGGUGGGUAGUUUGACUGGGGCGGUCUCCUCCUAAAGAGUAACGGAGGAGCACGAAGGUCAGCUAAUCCUGGUCGGACAUCAGGAGGUUAGUGCAAUGGCAUAAGCUGGCUUGACUGCGAGCGUGACGGCGCGAGCAGGUGCGAAAGCAGGUCAUAGUGAUCCGGUGGUUCUGAAUGGAAGGGCCAUCGCUCAACGGAUAAAAGGUACUCCGGGGAUAACAGGCUGAUACCGCCCAAGAGUUCAUAUCGACGGCGGUGUUUGGCACCUCGAUGUCGGCUCAUCACAUCCUGGGGCUGAAGUAGGUCCCAAGGGUAUGGCUGUUCGCCAUUUAAAGUGGUACGCGAGCUGGGUUUAGAACGUCGUGAGACAGUUCGGUCCCUAUCUGCCGUGGGCGCUGGAGAAUUGAGGGGGGCUGCUCCUAGUACGAGAGGACCGGAGUGGACGCAUCACUGGUGUUCGGGUUGUCAUGCCAAUGGCAUUGCCCGGUAGCUAAAUGCGGAAGAGAUAAGUGCUGAAAGCAUCUAAGCACGAAACUUGCCCCGAGAUGAGUUCUCCCUGACUCCUUGAGAGUCCUGAAGGAACGUUGAAGACGACGACGUUGAUAGGCCGGGUGUGUAAGCGCAGCGAUGCGUUGAGCUAACCGGUACUAAUGAACCGUGAGGCUUAACCUU
rnacentral:rRNA from 1 species